rnacentral:tRNA from 2 species
GCCCGGGUGGUGGAAUUGGCAGACACGGGGGGCUUAAACCCCCCUGGCUCGAAAGAGCCGUGCGGGUUCAAGUCCCGCCCCGGGCACCG